GUAGAGAGGUCCCCAACUUCGAUUCUCGUCCCUUUAGCAUCUCCGAUCCGAGAUCAGGGAUUACUCCGUUAGGUCUUUUCUUCGGUCCGGAGCCGGCCGGUAGCUGGUAAUGGACCUACUUACCUUGUCAGUAGCAGAGCUCACCUUUGUUCUUUGGUUUGGUGGGUGGCUACCAAGACGAUUUCUUUAUGCCCAUCAA
rnacentral:lncRNA from 1 species